GACCUUAACCUAUGUACACAGAACUGCUGACCCGCCAUUCAGUGAUCCUCAAUUUUCAAGUGAAGGAUCCUCCUCAGAUUCUCUGUCGCAAUGGCAGCAUCAUUACCACUAAAGAAGCUAACAGCUGAGCUGGCAGUCGGAGAGGAAGGUGCUGACUUGGCAUGCACAGGCACCUCUUCUUCGUCGGACCGGUCAGCAGGUGGAAACUCAAGUGAGACGCUACGCUUCUGGUGGAGGGAGAACUUGGGUAUCGGCAGAGAGCUGGGAGGUGGUGAGUUGGAGAACGCUGGACCAGCCCAGAGCUCAGGGCGAGAGGGAGGGGAUGUCGAAGGGCUUAUAGAGAUUGCU
rnacentral:lncRNA from 1 species